UCAGAUUUGUUUCUGCUUAGCCACGAUGGGAACUCCUCUUUAGGACUUUUGAGUAGAUAAAACUAGAUCCAUUUCUCCCCUGAGGUUGCGUUUGUUCUUUCUGUGUUGUUGUUUCUGGUAGAAAAUAACCCCAGCAACAAGGCCCCAGCAUGGUCCUUCGUUACCUGUUUUAUUUACUGCUGCAGGAGAGCCCUAAUUGGAUUGCAAGCCCUCAGGCACUCGGCGUCCAGGGCACCAACCAAACCCUCCCCAGGUGGCUGUUUUUAGGGAGGGACCUGCCCCACUAGAAAGAUGAGGACUUUACAGGGACCAGCAAGAGGGCUUUGGGUAGGUCUGCCUGAGAAAGCGCAUUCAGACUGAUCUGGUAGCCACAGCUGGUGGCCAAGGAGGAAUGGGGCACCUUCUGUGGUGCUCCUGGGCUGUGCUGUGGAAGGGCCGGGGGCCUCUUCUCUAGAGCUCCUGCUGGUCCCCUUCCUGGGCUCUCUGGUGCCCAGUGCAGUGGGCUCAGGAACAUUUGAUUCAUUUGGUGAUGACCUCAAUGCAGUGUUGAAAUGAAGACUUUGUGAAACCUCUCCGACCUGCUUUAUAUCUUCCAGUUCUGGAAGAGGGCCCUCUGCCUGCCCCUGGGGAGCUGGCCACGCAGCCUCCUGCCUUCCAGGCCCCUAAGCAUCCUGGGCACAGGUCCCCAGGAGCCUCCAGUGAAGGUGGCCACGGGAAGCCUGGAGACAGGCCUCGCCUGCUCAAGGCUGAUCACACACCAGCUGAUUACAGAGACACCGAUCAUUUCCUGGGAAGAAAACACACAUCUCAUGAUGGAAACAAUCCAGCCUAAACCCAAAGGUCAGAGUCCCUGUGACUGAUGGCUUCGGAACAAAGUGCCUGUCCCUAGGAGAGGUGGAAGCUGACAGGAGCAUCAGAGGACACCAGGCAUCUGGGGGCUCAUUUGUUUGUACCCUCCCCUCCCUAUCCCCCCUGCUGCUGACACGGGCUGUGCUUCUUCCCGCCAUGUGGCAGACACACUCAUCGCUCUCCAUCGGCAGCCGCCCUGGACCAGAAGAACCUGCAAGCUCACAGUGACUGGGGCACAUCUCAUCUGGAUAAGGCAGACAGGGGCUUGGAUCUCUUGGACCUGGGCUCCCGAGACUGACCAAGGCGUGAAUCCAUGUGCACAUGGGUCUUUCCAGUCUAGUUUACAUUGACUUGAGAGUAGAAAGGAGAAAGGCUUGUGAAUAGUCGAACCUGUUUGGUCUUUCCAGCAAGAAAAUCAUAGUUCCCAAGAUCACUGGAUAAAUUCUCAUUUGGUGUUUUCUUAUUUUUUUAUUAAUAUAAUUAUGUAAAAACUUUCCAGAACAGAGUGGAAGGAUGUAGAGUCGAUAUAAGAACUUGCCCAAAUUAAAUAAUACAAAGAUUUGAA